AAUGCAAAAUAAGAAGUUCCGCAUUGAACUCUUUCUUUCUUUUCAUUUUCCCUUCGUAUUCGUUUCGUUUCCCCAUUCGUUUCUCCCUCAUUCUAUUCAUUUCCUGUAUCUUAUUUCUUUUAUUAUCUUUUAUUUAUCCAUUACUCGAUAUUUUUAUUUUUAUUUCAGUUCAAUUUAAAUAUUCUUCAUGGUCAUGUUAUGUUUAAGUACAGUUAAAAAUUAAUUAUUUAACGUAAUACAGCAUUUUACAUAUUUUGGAAAAUUGGUGGCGCCAUCUACCACGGAACCGUCCAAGUUUGUCGAGAAAUAGUUCGAACUAGUCACCGCUAGGUGCCACGAGCAGUUUAAUUUCAAGUGAAAGAACUAAAAGUCAAGAAAACCUUAUCCCGGAUCAAUUUUAAUAAGCUUCGAGAUCAUGUCGUGUACGCAGUGUAGUCCAAUAUUCAUUAUUUAACGAAAUAAAGCAGUUUAUGUAAUUAUUACACAUCGUCGGUAUGGAUAACGAUCGGUGGCGCCACGUAGCGGUGAAAAGUUCGAACUAUCUCUCGACAAACUUGGACGGUUCUAUGGUAGAUGGCGCCACGAAUCAGUCAACAGUUGCUAUCCUUGUCGCACAUUUUAUUUCUCUUUCGCUUGCACAUUUUUUUCUGCCUGGACCCCGCCCACAGUAAUCUGUCCUCUGAUAGAUAAGUGUCAAACAGCGAUCAGAAAAAUAGAAGUUUUAUAUCCCUUUAUCGUUAUGAAACUACGUUCAAUCAGAUCGAUGACAUUUUUCAACGAAAAAUGAUCAAAGCACAGACAUCGCUAAAGACAACGUAUCCAAGUUUCAACGAAAUUCAAAAUGUUUUCUCGAAGCGUACGUGCUCUCGCACGAAACAAAUCUAUCGCAUGAUCGAUUAGCACCUACGUAACAACGUGUAUAUUCGUAAACAAUGAGUAAUAUUGCUGGAAAAUAAAAAUAUGACACGAUGAAAUGUAACACGCUAGUGUUCGCGAUUUACGACAGAACUGCUUCGUACUGAAGGAGAAACAGAAACAGAAACAGAAACGAAGGCAUAUGUUCAAGCAACCACGAUUACGUUAAAAAUAGACGAGAAGCCUUCGGUUCUUCGAAAUUAAAAUGAACCAUGGAAUACUCUGUUAGCGAUGUAAACACUUCACCGACUUGGCUUUGCAAAACCGACGAAACAAAAGUAAUUAGCUAAUCUUUUGGUAAAGACACGUAUGCACAUACCUGUUGCAGUAACGAUGUUACGCGCUAAUCGUCAGCCUCACUACAGAAGAACUGCGAAGAGCGAAAUCCAACUGACGACUAAGCUUCGCGUCGCUACAUGUUCAAAUUUUGUAUACGUAUGGUUGUGUACAUAAGACACGCAAACGUUACAGGAAAGGUGGGAGGAUCACAUUGCCCAAUGGGAGACUUCUGAGAAGUGACGUAGAGAUAUGUAUGUAUACAUACAGGCGGUUAUCUGAACGCGAUUCAUACACAGGAAAAGCAGAAAGCUUAUAAUAUAAUAGCGAAAAAUAAUUGUCAGUUCCCCGAAAACAAUUACUGAAGAUUCGAACAAAAAGAAUUGCGUAAUACAAAACGUUCUCCUGUUUAUCACUCGUCUAUAUAUGGAAUAAAUGCCAAAUAUACAUAUAUAGG